AACUUCCUAUUCUGCCUUGCCACCAAGAACUUCAGCUGCCAGACCUAUCAGACUGUCAUCCAGGCAUUCAGCAGCCAAAGGCCAUUUAUGGUCAGAGAAGGACAGCACGCAGUCUUCACGCAUUUCAUCAAACCAUUCCUUUCAAGAAAUGACUCAUCAGAUCCUGGCUGUGUCUCAUCUAUCAGAGGUAGUAAAGAGUGGCUAGAGGCAAACCUUGGCGGCUUCUCUGGUUUUGCAACCCUGCAGGAUUU